rnacentral:rRNA from 1 species
GGCCAGACUCCUACGGGAGGCAGCAGUGGGGGAUAUUGCACAAUGGGGGGAACCCUGAUGCAGCGACGCCGCGUGGGUGAAGGAGCGUUUCGGCGCGUAAAGCCCUAUCGGCAGGGAAGAAGGAGGACGGUACCUGACUAAGAAGCCCCGGCUAACUACGUGCCAGCAGCCGCGGUAAUACGUAGGGGGCGAGCGUUAUCCGGAUUCACUGGGUGUAAAGGGAGCGUAGACGGCCAAGCAAGCCAGGGGUGAAAGCCCGGGGCCCAACCCCGGGACUGCCCUUGGAACUGCUUGGCUGGAGUGCGGGAGGGGCAGGCGGAAUUCCUAGUGUAGCGGUGAAAUGCGUAGAUAUUAGGAGGAACACCAGUGGCGAAGGCGGCUUACUGGACGGCAACUGACGCUGAGGCUCGAAAGCGUGGGGAGCAAACAGGAUUAGAUACCCCAGUAC